UUAGCUCGGGAAUGAUACUGCAAGUUUUAAUACAUCAGGAAACAGAAGCGAUGGUGGAUUGAGUUCAUAGAAUCAUAGAAUCAACUAGAUUGGAAGGGACCUUAAAGAUCAUCUAGUCUAACCAUCAACCUAACUCUGAAAAAAAAAUAAAUAAGAAAUAAAAAUCACUAAACCAUAUUCACUAUAGUUGUCACUAUUAUUUAUGUUUAAAAUAUUGAAACUGUUUUCUUAGUGAGUUCAUAUAUUGAACUCAUCAAGACAUGUCAUACUGUAAAAAAAUUACAGAGCAUGAGCCGGAGAUUCUCUACUUACUCGCUAACUCUGAAUGUGUGUUUAGAUUAGUUAUCUAAUGCUAGAUAACCAAAGUAUCUGAAAUUGAGCUGGUCAUAAGAUGUGUUGAACUCCCUUUUCAGUCACUAUAAUCCCUUUGCUAAUCAUUCAAGAUGUAGGCGUUCAGCUCCAAAAACUGUGGUCUCAGUGUCUUAGCUUUUAAAACUGUAACGUGAUAGAAAUCUUUUUCCAGGUGAUUCAAAGCACAAGGUGUCCUUCCUAAGUAUUCAGGUGCAUUCAGAGGAAAGCUGCUGAAGAAAUAACAAGUAUUGUUAUCUGUUUGUACCAAAGAACAGAAAUCAGAGUUUUGUGGAAUUUUUUCUUUUAAGGCGAAAAAGGUUAGUCAGACUAAUGAGAAACUUCAUGCUUUCAAGUCUGCACGGAAAAAAAGAAUCACUGAUUGGUGUUACCUCUAUCAAACUUAAUCACCUACUUUCUACAUAGAGGACAUUGCAUGUGGAAGAAAUGACUGAAGGUUAUCUAGUGAUAGAAGAAAAUUAAUUCAUUGGGAAACUGAGGAAGGGACUGGAGAAUUAUUGAAAGUAAAAUCUUGAAAGAUUUUUUUCAUCACUUUCCUCAGAAAUGGAUAUGUGACCUCAGUUAAAACUUUUCAUAAAUUUUUAAUCUAAAAGAAGACAUCCAUCUUGAAUACUAAAAUGUAGCAAAGAUAAACACCUGAAAUCAAAGUUCUACAACGGGUAUUGUCAGGCAACUGAAUUCUAAGUGGUGUAAAUGACAAAGACUAGAGUAAGACUAGAGUGGCUGGAAACAUAAG
rnacentral:lncRNA from 1 species